GAGCCUCUUAAGGCACAUAUGCAACAGGAUGUCAUGUUGCUCCUGAGCAGGUGGAAUGUUCUGCUCUUGGAAGAGAAAAAAGUCCUUUCCUCUCACCAUUUGGAGACCAAAGAACAACAAAAGGAAGAAGAAGAAUGAAACUCUAAUGAGAAAAUAGCAUUGUGCUUAACUCUGGGAAUAUGGAGACGAAUAACUUGCAGCGUUUGAGCCUGCAGCUAGCUCAGAAGACAGAUGUGAGGCCAGUUAACCCAUUGCAGUGAGAAACUUCAUGCCACCCAAGAAUAAACCUGUAAGGCUGGACAUGCUCGAACUGGUUUUGUUUGGGAGGAAUACUGAAUGGGUCAUCCAAGAAACCGAGCCCACCUAGGAUUAUAAAAAGUUUUCAUUGAUUAAUUGAAAUAAUAAAAUCUCUUAUUAUUUCCCCUCUAAGCAGGCAA